AACAAACGCUGGCGGCGUGCCUAACACAUGCAAGUCGUACGAGAAAGGGUCCUUCGGGACCUGAGUAAAGUGGCGCACGGGUGAGUAGCGCGUGGAUAAUCUACCCUUCAGUUGGGAACAACUCAUCGAAAGGUGGGCUAAUACCGAAUAAUACUGCUCGACCUUGGUCGAGCAGCCAAAGAGAGCCUCUGCUUGCAAGCCCUCGCUGAAGGAUGAGUUCGCGUACCAUUAGCUUGUUGGUAGGGUAAUGGCCUACCAAGGCGACGAUGGUUAGCUGGUCUGAGAGGAUGAUCAGCCACACUGGAACUGAGACACGGUCCAGACUCCUACGGGAGGCAGCAGUGAGGAAUCUUGCGCAAUGGGGAAACCCUGACGCAGCAACGCCGCGUGAGUGAGGAAGGUCUUCGGAUCGUAAAGCUCUGUCAGUUGGAAAGAAAUGUCUGAGAGUCAAUCCCUUUCAGGCUUGACGGUACCAACAGAGG
rnacentral:rRNA from 1 species